GUCCUGCUGAAAGGUCCCAGACCAGGACGAAACAGCUGUCCAGUAC
rfam:Trichobilharzia regenti genome assembly, scaffold: TRE_scaffold0006785